rnacentral:misc_RNA from 1 species
AAGCACAAAGAGCACAAACCAGCUUAUUUCCACCUUUGCUCUCCCUCGCCUGCACACCGCGACAGAGAGAAUACACCCUUCGCCCUUCCUGGGUGCACCAUUGCACCACCAUUCUUGGUGUGCGCCGUCCACAAUUCACCCGGUGUGCGUCUCCAUGUUGGCCACCGCACAGCCAUGUCGGUAGUAGAAGAGGUUUACGCGGAGGGUCGGCGCAGUAUUCAGGAGACGCGGUCCUCGCAAGCGCCGCGGUUUUGUCCCAGCAGAACCAUCACCAUCAAUGAACCAAAGCGUUUCUUUAUGCUGCUGAUCGGAGUCUACGCGUGCAUAUGCACGUCCAUCAGCUACGUGUACAACCUUUUCUCUGGCCAACUUCAAGAGAAGUACAACUUCACUCAGAAGCAGAUGUCUGUUAUCACAACCAUGUCUAAUAUUCUUGGCCUCGUUGUCUUCCCUCUGGCAGGGCUGUACGACUACUACGGCCCGCGGCCGCUUUUCAUGAUUGGCAUGAUAAUUUUACCCCUUGGCGGAGUUCUCUUUGGACUGGCCUUCGCCGAUGCUGUGGGCGGCAGUGUUGCGCGCUUCACAAUCUUCAGCGCCUUCCUCGGCGUCGGUACCGCCAUGUUUGAUAUUGCGGGUCUCAUGACUAUUCUGAGUGUGUUUCCCAGCAGUCGUGGAGCUGUGAUUGCCGUAAUGAAAACGUUCAUCGGCCUUGGUUCUGCCAUCUUCGGCGCUAUCCAGCUGGGCUUUUUCGAGCACAACAUUACCGGGUUCUUCUACUUUCUGUCGGCGUUUGCCGCCUUUGUCGGGUUUCUGUGUGUUCUCUUCGUGGAGCUGCCGCCGUAUCAGCUCACGGGCUACGAAGAGAAAUACCUCACAGAGGCAGAGAAGGCGAAGAAGCUGUCCACCAAGAAGGCGUACUUAGAGAAGGUACCUUCUCCACGUCGCUUCAAGUACGGCUUUGUGCUUGUUGCCUUUCUCAUUGUUCUUCUCCCCCUGCAGAGCGCCGUUGUGGCCUACAUGCAGCUAGGACACCCCUACAAAGUCGCCUUUGCUUUGAUCACCAUCGGCGUCAUGGCUCUCUACUGUAUCAUCGCGAUUCCGCUCCGGUGGCUGGACGUGGGCAGCGCCAACAUUAUCGAGCAGCUGCCUGAGGAAAACGAGACUGCGGAGGCGGCCGCCGCUGCCGCAUCAGACCGCCGCAUGACAGCUGCUCAGCGCCUCAGCAUGCGCAUCAACACGACGCGUACGAGCAUUGCAGAGCGAGCCAUUUUCAACGCAGCCAGCCUCGACGAGUCUGCCCACAUUGCACCGCAGUACCAGACAUCCUUCUUCGAAAGUGUCUGCACACUGAAGCUGUGGGCCCUCGCCUACUCUCUGUUCUCCAUCUGUGGCACUCAGAUGGUCAUCAUCGUCAAUGCCCGCUUUGUGUACGCCGCCGCGUCUGAGACGCACAUGACACCGGAGGUCGCCUCCCUCCUCACUAUCUUCAACGGUGCCGGCAGUGCCGUGGGGCGAAUCCUCAUGAGUAUCUUCGAAGUCUGGACGCAAAAGCGCAAGCCUGAGGAGCGCAUUCCGCUUACUAUUUCGCUGUUUAUCCCAUCGCUGAUUGUUCUCGCGGCGUCCCUCAUGCUCCUUUUUGCGCAGAAGGAGUGGCUCUUGAUCUCGUUUGGCCUGACUGCUCUGGGCAACGGCUUCUCUGCGGCCUCCAUAGUGCUCGUGAUGCGGACUCUGUACGCGAAGGAUGUCGCGAACCACUACAACUGCAUGUCCCUCUCUUCACUUGCCAGCUCGGUGCUGCUAAAUCAAAUGCUCUACGGAAACUGGUACACAAAGGAGGCAAACAAGCAGGGCAGCAACAUUUGCAUUGGGCGGCAGUGCAUCUUCGUGCCCUUUGCUAUCAUGAGCGGCCUGCUCUUUACUAGUCUCUUCUCUGACUUGUAUGUUCACCUUCACUACAAGAAGUUUUGCGACGAGGUGCUUGCGGAGCGUGCGCAACUCCGCGGCGCGCGUGCUAGCACCCCCCAGACCGACGAACCCGACGUUCUUGAUGAGCAUGAGCCGUUGCUGUCCUCGACGAACUGAGUUUGUGCGUCUUUCUAGACUUCUCCUUUUCGCUGCGUAUUGUCUUGUAGUUCCCACUGCGUUGCGCACUCUCAUCCCCAGCUGUGAUUGGCCUAGCUCUUUCAUUCCCCAAAGCUUGGUACGUCUUACCUUUGCUCCUGGGAGCUCUUUUGUUCUCUUGUGUUGCAUUACACUGUUCACGUUAGGAGAUAAAAUGCAGUGCGCAUUCAUGAGAUAG